GAAGUAGAGGCGCGGUGUGAAUGAGUAACGCACGGCGGGAGGGUUUCACAGACCUGGGCCGUGCGGGAAAGGAAUCACCGCCGAAGGGCGCUGAGGUGAAAGGCGGCUCUGGGCAAAGGGAGAACAUCUUUUUGACUGUCGCAAUUGCGGAGAGCUACUG
rnacentral:ncRNA from 1 species